rnacentral:rRNA from 1 species
UACAGAGGGUGCGAGCGUUGUCCGGAAUCACUGGGCGUAAAGGGCGCGUAGGCGGCCUGAUAAGUAGGGGGUGAAAUCUUGCGGCUCAACCGCAAGGCUGCCUUCUAAACUGUCAGGCUGGAGCACGGUAGAGGCAGAUGGAAUUCCCGGUGUAGUGGUGGAAUGCGUAGAGAUCGGGAAGAACACCAGUGGCGAAGGCGGUCUGCUGGGCCGUUGCUGACGCUGAGGCGCGACAGCGUGGGGAGCAAACAGG